CUGCAGUCGAGCGCAGGAGCCGUCUGAACCCUUCGGGGGGACGACGGUGGAAUGAGCGGCGGACGGGUGAGUAACACGUAAAGAACCUGCCCAUAGGUCUGGGAUAACCACGAGAAAUCGGGGCUAAUACCGGAUGUGUCAUCGGACCGCAUGGUCCGCUGAUGAAAGGCGCUCCGGCGUCGCCCAUGGAUGGCUUUGCGGUGCAUUAGCUAGUUGGUGGGGUAACGGCCCACCAAGGCGACGAUGCAUAGCCGACCUGAGAGGGUGAUCGGCCACACUGGGACUGAGACACGGCCCAGACUCCUACGGGAGGCAGCAGUAGGGAAUCUUCCACAAUGGACGAAAGUCUGAUGGAGCAACGCCGCGUGAACGAUGAAGGCUUUCGGGUCGUAAAGUUCUGUUGUAAGGGAAGAACAAGUGCCGCAGGCAAUGGCGGCACCUUGACGGUACCUUGCGAGAAAGCCACGGCUAACUACGUGCCAGCAGCCGCGGUAAUACGUAGGUGGCAAGCGUUGUCCGGAAUUAUUGGGCGUAAAGCGCGCGCAGGCGGCCUCUUAAGUCUGAUGUGAAAGCCCCCGGCUCAACCGGGGAGGGCCAUUGGAAACUGGGAGGCUUGAGUA
rnacentral:rRNA from 1 species